CCUGAGAUGCCGCUGCUUAGACCAGGCUGGUGCCUUUUCUGUUAAAAAUGAGAAUGCAGAAAGGUUUUCUCAGUGCUCAGGUGACAGGGAAGAUAAGUGAAGGACUCUCAAUAUUAGGGGUAUAAGGAAUAUUGUAGUAGAACAGUCGUACUCUCCGUUUCUGUAUUAAGGCAAAAAGCUGUCCCUGAGAGGGUGAAAUCCAGAGGUCUUGGUCUCUCUUUCUAGGCUGUGUGUCUCUGUUUAGACAGAAAACUGCUCGCCUUGUCUUGUCUUGACACAGAAGGUUGUGUCUCUCAAUGUAAAGCAGCAAACUUAGUCUCUUUCAGUGUCCUGGCUAAAGAUGACUGGGUUUGUCCCCCAAUGUCGAGUCUCUCUUCUAGAGUCCAGACAGAAAGCUGUUUAUCUCUCUCCACUGGGGCAGAAAAUUGAGUCUCUCACCAGUUGGCUUGAUGUGUUGAGGGAUCAAAUCCACUAUCUGUCAAUGAUCAGCGGAAUAAAACAAACUCUUUCAACUUUAAGAAAACGUAAAGGUUUUCGUCAACUAUAAUUACUAUUUCCCUAUCUUUCCCUUUUUUCAUUCCUUGGAAGAGAUCAGGGUAGAGGGACUGGUGAUGCAGACUUCGAGGACGGAUGGAGUAGAUGAGGGCACAGACCUAAGGCUGAUGAGCAGGAGCAGCUGUCUGUAAUGUAGGAGACUACCGGACGGACCACGGACAGAAAUGCAGCCUUAAGCAUGGGGGCAGUGGAAGAAAUACCAGGCAUCACUUGUGGCCUGUCCUCCUACCCUACCCAGUACCCUGCAGCCCUCCCACAGCCUCCUCCCUUCCUCCUCCUCCUCCUCUGCCUUCCUCUCUCUCUCAGCCCACAAUUCCCUCGGUUUGCCUGCCUGGUUCUCUAUUCUAGAGAGAGGAAUAUCUCAGGUCAGGAGGGGAAGUCAGAUUGUAUUAGAGCACAAUGGCAAUUCUACAUUGGCCACUAACUCCCAUUUUGUCUCUGCUCCCUCUAAACCAUACAUGUAGACCCACAC
rnacentral:lncRNA from 1 species